rnacentral:sRNA from 1 species
GAGUUGAGCGUAGCGAAACAACGGAGCCGCUCGCGGCGACGGCCCGAAGGGCGAGCGAAGCGAGUCAUCCUGCACGACCCACCA